UUCAUGGAGAGUUUGAUCCUGGCUCAGGACGAACGCUGGCGGCGUGCCUAAUACAUGCAAGUCGAGCGAAUCUUGAGGUGCUUGCACCUCUUGGUUAGCGGCGGAUGGGUGAGUAACACGUGGGCAACCUGCCUGUAAGACUGGGAUAACAUCGGGAAACCGAUGCUAAUACCGGAUAAUCCUUUUCCUCUCAUGAGGGAAAGCUGAAAGUCGGCUUCUCGCUGACACUUACAGAUGGGCCCGCGGCGCAUUAGCUAGUUGGUGAGGUAACGGCUCACCAAGGCGACGAUGCGUAGCCGACCUGAGAGGGUGAUCGGCCACACUGGGACUGAGACACGGCCCAGACUCCUACGGGAGGCAGCAGUAGGGAAUCUUCCGCAAUGGACGAAAGUCUGACGGAGCAA
rnacentral:ncRNA from 1 species